ACACGCGGCUUCCUCCAGGCGGAUGGUCACCGGACCCAAAGUACCAGAUCUGUCUGUGCUUCGGUGAGGAGGACCCGGGCCCCACACAGCACCCCAAGGAGCAGCUCAUCAUGGCGGACGUGCAGGUGCAGCUUCGGCCUGGGAGCUCGUCCUGCACUCUAAGUGCCUCAACCGAGCGCCCAGAUGGGUCCUCAACCCCUGGCAACCCCGAUGGCAUCACUCACCUUCAAUGCAGCUGCCUCCAUCCUAAGCGAGCCGCUUCCUCUUCUUGUACCCGCUGAAGGCAGCCCCCAACAGGGGGGCUCCCUACUCCCACCCAACCCUGCCCACACUAAGCCCAUAGACUUGGGGCCUCCCCCGGCACAUCACCCAGGUCUGCCGGACGGCAGAGGUGGAUCGCGGCCUUCCACUCCUCUGUCACGGGGCCCCGGAACUCGAGAGUAGGCCACACCGCCCCCCAGCUGGGCAUGGGGCUUCGGCAGGAAACUGAACUUGAUCUUGAGGCCCCAGAAAGGCAGCAACUGGAGCAGAAGCAAGACUUCAUCUCUUGCUGACAGCCCAAUUUGUCAAUAGCGCUUUCCUCAGAGCCAGCCUUAACCUGCUGUUGAGUCCAUUAAAACGUUUGCUUAAAGUUUUUACCAAUAAUUAGAUCAUCAGGGUUGUUUAGUGUGGGAUCAAGCCAUAACAAAACUGCCUAGCCUCUCAGGGGCCUAGAAUUUACAGAACCUUCCUCCUCCCUGCAGCUAGUCUCUCUUCUUUAUUCUGGGGGCUGGGAAGGAUCCCAAAACAGGGAACUUGGCCGAACCCUGGGCUUUGGAUGCUAACCACUGAAGUACCAGCACCUGUAGGAUGCUGUCUUUGAAGAAACUGAGGCGGACCUCCAAAUGCAGCCCUAAGGCAGAGGUCAACGUGGAAGACCAGCCCUUCUCCAAGCCCCACUGGUCUUUGCAAGCUGUACGUUGUAGGCAAUCUGAGAACUGGAAAGGGGGACUACAACCAGAAAGUUGGUUACCCUGCCAUGGGAAUAAAGUAGCUGUUUUCCACCCCA
rnacentral:lncRNA from 1 species